rnacentral:lncRNA from 1 species
UAUUGAAGAUUGCAGUGAGCUCAUCUAGAAGAUGAGUGAUCCAGAACACGUCACAGUGAAGCAUGAUGCUACUGAAGAACGAGGUACACCUACUGAAGAGGAAAACCAGAUAUGCAGAACUGCCAUUGGGUACUGGGCUAACUUUAUUCAUGCUGUGAGUUGUGCAUCAGUUGCUGGACAGUAAAUUAGGAUCUGUUACUGAUUACCUUUUAUUCCUUAAAUAAUUAUUUCAUUUCCACAGUUCUACAAAUGAU